rnacentral:rRNA from 1 species
AAUGAACGCUGGCGGCAGGCCUAAUACAUGCAAGUCGAACGAAAACACAGUAAGCUCUCGCCCUUAAGGGUGGCGACUGGCGGACGAGUAAGACAUACAUAGCCUACCACUUAUUCUGGGGUAACUACGGAGGGCCAGAUCUGAUACUAGAGAAUAUACCGUACCGCAGGAAGCAAGGGAUAAACGCACCUUGGGUGUCAGUAAUAGCUGGAGCGGCGUCGGAUUAGCUAGUUGGUAAGGUAACGGCACACCAAGGCGACGAUCCGUAGCUGAGCUGAGAGGAUGAUCAGCCACACUGGAACUGAGACACGGUCCAGACUCCUACGGGAGGCAGCAGUGGGGAAUAUUGGACAAUGGGCGCAAGCCUGAUCCAGCCAUACCGCGUGGGUGAAGAAGGCCUUCGGGUUGUAAAGCCCUUUUGUUGGGAAAGAAAAGCAGCAGGUUAAUACCCCGCUGUUCUGACGGUACCCAAAGAAUAAGCACCGGCUAACUUCGUG